rnacentral:rRNA from 1 species
UUGAACGCUGGCGGCAGGCCUAACCCCUGCAAGUCGCACGGUAACAGGAAGCAGCUUGCUGCUUCGCUGACGAGUGGCGGACGGGUGAGUAAUGUCUGGGAAGCUGCCUGAUGGAGGGGGAUAACUACUGGAAACGGUAGCUAAUACCGCAUAAUGUCGCAAGACCAAAGAGGGGGACCUUCGGGCCUCUUGCCAUCGGAUGUGCCCAGAUGGGAUUAGCUUGUUGGUGGGGUAACGGCUCACCAAGGCGACGAUCCCUAGCUGGUCUGAGAGGAUGACCAGCCACACUGGGACUGAGACACGGUCCAGACUCCUACGGGAGGCAGCAGUGGGGAAUAUUGCACAAUGGGCGCAAGCCUGAUGCAGCCAUGCCGCGUGUAUGAAGAAGGCCUUCGGGUUGUAAAGUACUUUCAGCGGGGAGGAAGGGAGUAAAGUUAAUACCUUUGCUCAUUGACGUUACCCGCAGAAGAAGCACCGGCUAACUCCGUG